rnacentral:tRNA from 1 species
AGGAUUUAAGUUAAAAAUUAACAUUUGAUUUGCAAUCAAAAAAAAUUAAAUUUUA